rnacentral:tRNA from 1 species
GCAUGUAUGGCUGAGUGGUUGAAAGCGGCAGACUCAUAAUCUGUUUCCGAAUAGGACAUCACAGGUUCGAGUCCUGUUACAUGCA